rfam:Oryza brachyantha chromosome 2, whole genome shotgun sequence.
UCGGCUUCUGUUCGAUCUACUCGUGCCUGCGGACGACCUUGAGGUUCGUGAGCAAUGGCGAUAUGUGAAGCUAAAGUAAUUGUUCCUCUCGCUAUCCGGCGCGGAAUUUGUUGAUGCGAUUGGACGUCGAGGAACUAUACUU